UAGGGAAUCUUCGGCAAUGGGGGCAACCCUGACCGAGCAACGCCGCGUGAGUGAAGAAGGUUUUCGGAUCGUAAAGCUCUGUUGUAAGAGAAGAACGUGUGUGAGAGUGGAAAGUUCACACAGUGACGGUAACUUACCAGAAAGGGACGGCUAACUACGUGCCAGCAGCCGCGGUAAUACGUAGGUCCCGAGCGUUGUCCGGAUUUAUUGGGCGUAAAGCGAGCGCAGGCGGUUUAAUAAGUCUGAAGUUAAAGGCAGUGGCUUAACCAUUGUUCGCUUUGGAAACUGUUAAACUUGAGUGCAGAAGGGGGGAGUGGAAUUCCAUGUGUAGCGGUGAAAUGCGUAGAUAUAUGGAGGAACACCGGUGGCGAAGGCGGCUCUCUGGUCUGUAACUGACGCUGAGGCUCGAAAGCGUGGGGAGCAAACAGG
rnacentral:rRNA from 1 species